AUUGAACGCUGGCGGCAGGCCUAACACAUGCAAGUCGAGCGGCAGCACAAGUGAGUUUACUCAUGAGGUGGCGAGCGGCGGACGGGUGAGUAAUGCCUAGGGAUCUGCCCAGUCGAGGGGGAUAACAGUUGGAAACGACUGCUAAUACCGCAUACGCCCUACGGGGGAAAGAGGGGGACUUUCGGGCCUCUCGCGAUUGGAUGAACCUAGGUGGGAUUAGCUAGUUGGUGAGGUAAUGGCUCACCAAGGCGACGAUCCCUAGCUGUUCUGAGAGGAUGAUCAGCCACACUGGGACUGAGACACGGCCCAGACUCCUACGGGAGGCAGCAGUGGGGAAUAUUGCACAAUGGGGGAAACCCUGAUGCAGCCAUGCCGCGUGUGUGAAGAAGGCCUUCGGGUUGUAAAGCACUUUCAGUAGGGAGGA
rnacentral:rRNA from 1 species